AAUAUUCUGUCUGUUUUAUGUUCAGACCAGCCAGAUCAGACCUCUCAUACUUUACCCUACCAUGUCAUUCUAAAAAUAAACAAUCAGAAUGUUGAAAUGUUAAA